CAAACAUACUCGUUUUACCUUUAACCAUGGGGCUUUACAGCUUUUGCAUGAGUCUUGAGCAAUCAGAUUACAAAACAAUCAGGUCAAGCACUAUGUCUCAAAUUCUUUGUAGAACCAUUAUUCCAGAGUUUUUUAAUAGGUUUUCAGAGUAAAACUUAGAGCUUAAUUGUAUGCCACCCUCAAGUCUCUCAAUGUAUGGGGUAUUUGUGGUUCUCUCUUGAGGCAUUAAUGAUGCUAUGCCUCCUAUAGCUAAAGGUAUAUAUGGUAGAUCUUAUAGGAGUGCCAAUAACAAGGAUAGGCAUACUUGCAAUGCAUGUAUUGUAAAGUCAACUAAUGGAUCCAUAGAGAAUCAAGGCAUACAAUCAAACCAAUGUGUGCAUGUGUAUGGAAUAUGGUGGAUAGGUGAAUUUGUGGUAUUUGUGGCUAAUUUCUAUUUCUUUAGGAACAACUCUCUAUUAAAACUUUUUAGGAAAGACAUAGGCUAUCUUUAUUUAUUUAUUUUUAUUAUUAUUUUUUUUAUUAGGGAGGUGGGCAUCUAGUACCCAUUGUUUUAAUUACUGGGACACUUGUCCAUCUUUUACUCCCAUUUCUGCUUUUAUAUUUUUGCAUAGCCACAUGUAUCCAUUGAAUACAAUAAAUGAUCAGAGAGGUAAUAAUAAGAACUUAUGGCUUUAAUGAUGGGCUUUAUCCUAUGGGUAUGGUUUAUGUUGGUGUUUACUCCCAGUGUAGGAAUAAUGCAUAUGUGAACUGAAGUGUGUACAUGAUCUUGAUUUUAAAAGCAUGACAAGACUAUCGUAAGGUAUACUACAAAGGUUGACUAAUCUCAAUGCAAAGCAAGCAGCACAAAUGUGCAAAAGUUUUCCUAACUCUAAAUGUGUAUUAUAUAUGGCUUUGGUAGGAGUUCAAACUUGUCAUACAAGAACUCAUCAUGUAAAUUUCAAAUUUUUGAAAUAAAUCUCUAGAACUUAAAAAUGCUAGGAUUAAGAUAAAUAGCAGCUCAGACUUUCAGUGAUCAUAUCAACGAACUACCUAGACUUAGCUCAAACGUAUGCCUCCACAAGUUGCAGGUUCAGAGUAAACCUUCAAAUUAAAAUAUUCAUGUCCAAAACUCGAGAGAAUCUACCAUUGGAAUCUAGGUACUUGCAAAGAAUUAUAACAGAGCAACUAUUCAUCAUCUCCAAGAUGAAAUUUUAAUGUUCAUCAAUUUUUGUUUAGCUCUAGUUUAGACUGACUCUAAACAGGCUCUGACACUUAACUUAUUAUAAACUCACAAAAAAGACUCUAUGACUUGUGGACCUUCAUAUGCCCACAUAUUUUUGGUAUUUUUAUGACUAUAUAGACUCAAAAUCACUUAGGUAUAAUGACAUGAUAACUAGGGAUGCUCGUCCCCCAAGCUGGAUGGUUGCAAUACUUGGUGUAGAUGUCCUUUAGAGUGAGCUAACCAAUAGCGGACCUGGUGGGUGCCACUGAAUAGACUCUCUACUUGCUAUGAUGUUAUUCUUGUAUAAAUACUCUCCACAAAGAGAAACCAAAACUCGAGGCUCGAAUUUGUUAAUGGGUUAGCGAUCAGCCAAAGAGUAAUUGAUCACCUUUAUGAGCUAGCUUUAUUGUUGUCUAAUUUAAAUAGGAUUUCAAUUUUCUCUUAUUUUUGACUUUUCUAUUUAUGAUGCAGGAAUUUAAAUAUGAAUGUUAUAGUUUUUAUGCCACCACAGUAAAUAUUCCUAAGGGGUUACCAUAAGUUUAUUCACAUGGGGCUUGGUAUUUAUGAUGUAGUAGUUAAAGCAGUAAAUAUUUAUUCGUAUUUUUUAUUAAUAUGCUAAGAGAAAUAAAUAUGCUACUAGGUGUAUUAAAGCAAAAUUACUAAUGCAUGCUAACUUAACUAAUAACUACCAUUCUGACCAUAUUGCUAGGGAAUGAAAUUUAAAGUCUACCAACAGGACUUAGAUAGAGGAGGACACUUACUCACUGGGUUCAUCGUCUAAGGUAACCUCAGUCAACUCCCUAUUUCAUGGUGAUGCGUCACGUGCC
rnacentral:lncRNA from 1 species